AUACUUACCUGACAGGGGCGAAUCCAUGAUCAGAAAGGUGAUUUCCCCAGUGAGGUUUAUCCAUUGCAGUUGGGCUCACCCCUGUAAUUUCCCCAAAUGUAAGAAACUCAACUGAAUAAUUUGUGGUAAAGAGAGGCUGCAUAUGAGCUCUUCCCUG